rnacentral:rRNA from 1 species
GCGGCGUGGAUUAGGCAUGCAAGUCGAGCGAGAAGUUUACUUCGGUAAAUGGACAGCGGCGAAAGGGACAGUAAUGUGUAGGUACCUACCCUCUGAUCUGGGAUAGCUGCGGGAAACUGCAGGUAAUACCGGAUAAUGUCUUCGGACCAAAGGUGUGAUUCCGUCUGAGGAGGGGCCUGCAUCCUAUUAGCUUGUUGGUGAGGUAAUGGCUCACCAAGGCAACGAUGGGUAGCGGGUGUGAGAGCAUGACCCGCGUCAUUGGGACUGAGACACUGCCCAGACAUCUACGGAUGGCUGCAGUCGAGAAUCUUCGGCAAUGGGCGAAAGCCUGACCGAGCGACGCCGCGUGCGGGAUGAAGGCCCUCGGGUUGUAAACCGCUGUCGUUGGGGAGGAAAUGCAAGAGGGCUAUCCCUUUUGUUUGACCGAUCCAAGGAGGAA